AGUUUGAUCCUGGCUCAGGAUGAACGCUGGCGGCGUGCCUAACACAUGCAAGUCGAACGAAGCACUUUUCCUCGGAGAUUCGUCGAAGAGGGGAUUUGACUUAGUGGCGGACGGGUGAGUAACGCGUGAGCAACCUGCCUUUCAGAGGGGGACAACAGUUGGAAACGACUGCUAAUACCGCAUAAUGUAGCGGGGAGGCAUCUUCCUGCUACCAAAGGAGCAAUCCGCUGAAAGAUGGGCUCACGUCUGAUUAGCUGGUUGGUGGGGUAACGGCCUACCAAGGCUGCGAUCAGUAGCCGGACUGAGAGGUUGAACGGCCACAUUGGGACUGAGAUACGGCCCAGACUCCUACGGGAGGCAGCAGUGGGGAAUAUUGGGCAAUGGGCGAAAGCCUGACCCAGCAACGCCGCGUGAAGGAAGAAGGUCUUCGGAUUGUAAACUUCUUUUAUGAGGGACGAAGGACGUGACGGUACCUCAUGAAUAAGCCACGGCUAACUACGUGCC
rnacentral:rRNA from 1 species